rnacentral:rRNA from 1 species
AGCAGUGGGGAAUAUUGGACAAUGGGGGGAACCCUGAUCCAGCCAUGCCGCGUGUGUGAAGAAGGCCUUUUGGUUGUAAAGCACUUUAAGCAGUGAAGAAGACUCUAUGGUUAAUACCCAUAGACGAUGACAUUAGCUGCAGAAUAAGCACCGGCUAACUCUGUGCCAGCAGCCGCGGUAAUACAGAGGGUGCAAGCGUUAAUCGGAAUUACUGGGCGUAAAGCGAGCGUAGGUGGCUUAAUAAGUCAGAUGUGAAAUCCCCGGGCUUAACCUGGGAACUGCAUCUGAUACUGUUAGGCUAGAGUAGGUGAGAGGGAGGUAGAAUUUCAGGUGUAGCGGUGAAAUGCGUAGAGAUCUGAAGGAAUACCGAUGGCGAAGG